rnacentral:rRNA from 1 species
GAUGAACGCUGGCGGCGUGCCUAAUACAUGCAAGUCGAGCGAACGGACGAGAAGCUUUUUUCUCUGAUGUUAGCGGCGGACGGGUGAGUAACACGUGGAUAACCUACCUAUAAGACUGGGAUAACUUCGGGAAACCGGAGCUAAUACCGGAUGAUAUUUUGAACCGCAUGGUUCAAAAGUGAAAGACGGUCUUGCUGUCACUUAUAGAUGGAUCCGCGCUGCAUUAGCUAGUUGGUAAGGUAACGGCUUACCAAGGCAACGAUGCAUAGCCGACCUGAGAGGGUGAUCGGCCACACUGGAACUGAGACACGGUCCAGACUCCUACGGGAGGCAGCAGUAGGGAAUCUUCGGCAAUGGGCGAAAGCCUGACGGAGCAACGCCGCGUGAGUGAUGAAGGUCUUCGGAUCGUAAAACUCUGUUAUUAGGGAAGAACAUAUGUGUAAGUAAAUGUGCACAUCUUGACGGUACCUAAUCAGAAAGCCACGGCUAACUACGUG